rnacentral:misc_RNA from 1 species
GAUGAAGAACGUAGCGAAAUGCGAUAAGUAGUGUGAAUUGCAGAAUUCAGUGAAUCAUCGAAUCUUUGAACGCACAUUGCGCCCCUUGGUAUUCCAUGGGGCAUGCCUGUUCGAGCGUCAUUUGUACCUUCAAGCUUUGCUUGGUGUUGGGUGUUUGUCCCGAGGGACUCGCCUUAAAGUAAUUGGCAGCCAGUGUUUGGUUUUGAAGCGCAGCACAAGUCGCGAUUCAAGGCUACACGCCCGCUUCCACAAGCCUUUUUUCACUUUUGACCUCGGAGCAGGUAGGGAUACCCGCUGAACUUAAGCAUAUCAAUAAGCGGAGGA